UGUCAUGUAUUUCUGCAGAAGGUUUCUUAAGCAAGAUUUUGAUUCCACUCUUGCCUAUGUAAAUCAUGAAAGAAAACAAAGACACGAGGAGAAUGUACUGGGAGCGGAGUGGAGAAAUAGUAACGGAGCAGGAUCUUUUGGGGUUGGCAAUAGCAGGCAACCAUCUCGUAAUCAAAUAUCAGAAUCAACAAGUUUGACUGACUCUAAAA